rnacentral:rRNA from 1 species
UACAAUAAGCAAAAUAAGGGCGUAUGGGGGAUGCCUAGGCUCUCAGAGGCGAUGAAAGGCGUGAUAAGCUGCGAAAAGCUACGGGGAUCUGCACACAAGACUUGAUCCGUAGAUACCUGAAUGGGGCAACCCACUAUGUUGAAGACAUAGUACACCGAUAGGUGGGCAAACCCGCUGAACUGAAACAUCUAAGUAGGCGGAGGAGAAGAAAACAAAAGUGAUUCCGUAAGUAGUGGCGAGCGAACGCGGAUUAGCCCAAACCAAAGUUGUUACGGCAAUUUUGGGGUUGUAGGACCACGACAUUUCUUGCAUGCGGAACUAGAACUUACUGGAAAGUAAGACCAAAGAGAGUGAUAGUCUCGUAUAGGUAACAAUUGUAAAGGAUAGUGGUAUCCUGAGUAGGGCGGGGCACGUGAAACCCUGUCUGAAUUUGGCGGGACCAUCCGCUAAGGCUAAAUACUCCUGAGAGACCGAUAGUGAACCAGUACUGUGAAGGAAAGGUGAAAAGAACCGUGAAUAACGGAGUGAAAUAGAUCCUGAAACCAUACGCUUACAAGCGGUCGGAGCUUCUUCGUGAAGUGACGGCGUGCCUUUUGCAUAAUGAGCCUACGAGUUAACGUUGCUGGCAAGGAUAAGCACUUCAGGUGUGGAUCCGUAGCGAAAGCGAGUCUGAAUAGGGCGCUUUAGUCAGUAGUGUUAGACGCGAAACCGUGUGAUCUACCCAUGGGCAGGUUGAAGCUGUGGUAACACACAGUGGAGGACCGAACCGGUUGACGUUGAAAAGUCUUCGGAUGACCUGUGGGUAGGGGUGAAAGGCCAAUCAAACUCGGAAAUAGCUCGUACUCCCCGAAAUGCAUUUAGGUGCAGCGCUGAGCAUAAAGUUAUAUAGAGGUAGAGCUACUGAUUGGAUGCGGGGGCUUCACCGCCUACCAAUUCCUGACAAACUCCGAAUGCUAUAUAAUGUUUCUCAGCAGUGAGGGCUUGGGUGCUAAGGUCCAAGUCCGAGAGGGAAAGAACCCAGACCAUCAGCUAAGGUCCCCAAAUGUAUGCUAAGUUGAAAGAACGCGGUUUGUCUGCCCAGACAGCUAGGAUGUUGGCUUGGAAGCAGCCAUUCAUUUAAAGAGUGCGUAACAGCUCACUAGUCGAGCGGACGAGCAUGGAUAAUAAUCGGGCAUAAGUAUACUACCGAAGCUAUGGAUUUCUAGUAAUAGAAGUGGUAGGGGAGCAUUCUAACAGGGUUGAAGGUAUCUCGUCAGGGUUGCUGGACUGGUUAGAAAAGAAAAUGUAGGCAUAAGUAACGAUAAUGCGGGCGAGAAACCCGCACACCGAAAGACUAAGGUUUCCACAGCUAUGCUAAUCAGCUGUGGGUUAGUCGGGACCUAAGGCGAACCCGAAAGGGACAGUCGAUGGCCAACGGGUUAAUAUUCCCGUACUACUGAAUACUGUGAUGGGGUGACGGAGUGAUGAAAGCGCCGCGAACUGACGGAAUAGUUCGUUAAAGCACCUAGCUAUAAGAUUUAUAGGCAAAUCCGUAAAUCUUGGUGAAAUGCGAUAGUACACGGAGUCUUCGGACGAAGUGAUAGUGCGCCUAAGGGCUUCCAAGAAAAACCUCUAAACUUCAGGUAUUUAGUACCCGUACCGUAAACCGACACAGGUAGUUGGGAUGAGAAUUCUAAGGUGCUCGAGAGAUUCAUGGCUAAGGAAUUAGGCAAAAUAGACCCGUAACUUCGGGAGAAGGGUCGCCCCGAGUAAUCGGGGCCGCAGUGAAGAGGUCCAGGCGACUGUUUAUCAAAAACACAGGGCUCUGCAAAAUCGUAAGAUGAAGUAUAGGGCCUGACACCUGCCCGGUGCUGGAAGGUUAAGAGGAGAUGUUAUCUUCGGAGAAGCAUUGAAUUGAAGCCCCAGUAAACGGCGGCCGUAACUAUAACGGUCCUAAGGUAGCGAAAUUCCUUGUCGGGUAAGUUCCGACCUGCACGAAUGGUGUAACGAUCUGGACACUGUCUCAGCCAUGAGCUCGGUGAAAUUGUAGUAACGGUGAAGAUGCCGUUUACCCGCAGUGGGACGAAAAGACCCUGUGCACCUUUACUAUAGCUUAGUAUUGACCUUGGAUAAAUGAUGUGUAGGAUAGGUUGGAGACUGUGAAGUGGCGUCGCCAGGCGUUGUGGAGUCAUUGUUGAAAUACAACCCUUUGUUUAUCUGAGGCCUAACUCC